CAAUGCUAAAAGGAAGAAAAGAUGGAAGACUAAUCCUGAUAAAAGAUGUACUGCUUCCAGAAAUGCAAACAAUGCUGAUGCAAGGAAGUGCCUUCAUUUACCAUGUGAUACUGAAGAUAUAAUACAUGUUUUAGGACUGCUUGAGAAAGUAACUGUGAAACAUGAAAGACUGAAGAGAACCAACUGUUCUUACACCAGCACCUGUAUGACCUGUUAAUCACAGGUCACACAUGAGUUGUCAUGACAGAAUGCCUUAAUAAAAAAAAAGUCCAAAUAUCCUGACACUUGAAUAGGACCCCAAAAAGUUGUGAAGCAUCAGUAAUACAAAAAAGGACUGGAACACUGAAAAGCACUGGCAGACUGGAAUGUCUCAUAAAUUAGAUGCUUAAGAGGAGGAAAAAAAAGUCCAGAAGAAUGCCACAACAUAUUUCAGCUGAAUACUGGAUAUGGAUGACUUAAGGGUAUAGAAUUUCCAGGUACCUGUUGCCAGAGUAGCUGUAACCCUCUGAAAAUCUGAGAAAUUAAUGCAUACAGAAAAUUUUCCUGAUUUUUAUUUCAACAUCUUAUCUAGUGACCUUCUCUUUGGAAGCCUUGUCCAUCUUUUGUAAGUAUAUAAAUGACAGGAUCAAGCAAACUAGCAGUGGCAUAGGCGCAAAGCAUACAGGAUCUCAAUAUGGACACAUAGCUCAACAAUCCAAAGUGAGAGAUUCCAAAAGAUUCUCCUUGGGGAACUAUAGGAUGAGGAGUAGGAGUGAAUUUGAAAAGUACAGACUGAUAAAUUUGUAAUUGGUAUAUAACUUCUUUCUGCAAAAGCAGCAGACUGAAUUUUAUAGUACAAAGAUGGAAAGACUCUGCUAUUUAAGACACAGCCAAAACAUCUUUUCCAGGAUCAAACACAUGGAUACGCUUGUAUACCUUGAACAGAUCACUCAGCUUACGUGCUUCUGUUUUCAGGAAAAGAUAUCUAAAUUUCCCUGGAAGUCUUUCAAUCUAGGAGAUUGCAAAACCCCAAUCUAUCCCCAUUUUUUAUAGAUAACAACUAGCAUACAGACAAAAAAUUUUGUAAAGCAAUUAAAACUAAUUGUAGAGGAAAUAGUUUUAUUUCUCCCA